rnacentral:rRNA from 1 species
UACGGGGGGGGCAAGCGUUGUUCGGAAUUACUGGGCGUAAAGGGCUCGUAGGCGGCCAACUAAGUCGGACGUGAAAUCCCCUGGCUCAACCAGGGAACUGCGUCUGAUACUGGAUGGCUUGAGUUCGGGAGAGGGAAGUGGAAUUCCAGGUGUAGCGGUGAAAUGCGUAGAUAUCUGGAGGAACACCGGUGGCGAAGGCGGCUUCCUGGACCAACACUGACGCUGAGGAGCGAAAGCCAGGGGAGCAAACGGG